GCGUCGAUAGUGCAACGGGUUAGCACGCGCCCCUGGAUACGGUGGAAUGCGGAUUCGAGUCCCGAUCGAUGCA